UACGUAGGGUGCGAGCGUUGUCCGGAAUUAUUGGGCGUAAAGAGCGUGUAGGCGGCCCGGUAAGUCCGCUGUAAAAGUCAAAGGCUCAACCUUUGAAUGUCAGUGGAUACUGUCGGGCUAGAGUCCGGAAGAGGCGAGUGGAACUCCUGGUGUAGCGGUGGAAUGCGCAGAUAUCAGGAAGAACACCAACGGCGAAGGCAGCUCGCUAGGACGGUACUGACGCUGAGACGCGAAAGCGUGGGGAGCGAACAGG
rnacentral:rRNA from 1 species